GCAGCCGCUCGCCCUUCUUCUACCCGCCGCCGCCGCCAUAGCCGACUCGAAGCUCCGCACCCUCACCAAGCGCCUCGACCCCGACCUCGCCCCGCGCACCUGCACCACCGAGCUCGGUCACGCCGUGACGCCGUCGAUCGCCACCACGAUGUCGCCCGCAACUGCGUCGCCCGAGCGUCUCGUCCUCGGCACCACCUCGGCACUCGCACCGCGCCCUCGCCGAGCAGCAGCAGAGCCGCGGCCAUGGCCUCGCCCUGCCGACGCCGCCAAGCACCACUGCGCCCGCCUCGGCCGUGCCCCUACCUCUGUGUCAAGCUUCAUCACCACGCGGGGGUCAGCCGCGGUGCCGUCCUCGCUGCGCAGCGGCCUCGCCCGGCGACGUCGAGCCCGCUGCCCUCGCCGCGUCGAGCUUCGACCACGGCCGGCCGCGUGGACGCCACAGCCCGGCCGAGCCUCUGCCUCGCCACCGUGGGAGUCGCCGCGGCCACGACGCCUUCAGCCCCGGCGCCCCUCCGCGUCUACGACGGUGUCGACCGCGAGCCCCCGUGCUGUCAUGGAGCUUACCUCGUCGAGCCGACACGCCGUCGACAGAGCCACCGAUGCCGCGCGCCGGGCACCAGAGCAAGCCCCUUCGCCGAGCACCCGAUGCGCCCCGUUGCCGCGGCCACGCCAGGACAUCGCCAUGGUCACCGCGUCAGCGCCGGCCGUGGUGAUCGCGACCCCGACCACGACGCCGUGCUCAUCUUGCCACGGUGACCGCGAACUUCCCUUUUGCUGGCUGCCGAUCACCACUGAACGUGCAGCAGCGGCAGCACCACCCCGCGCGAAGCUCUUCUCUGCCGCCGGUGAGCCACCAGUGCCCAAGUGCCCUCCUUGCUAGCUUUCUGUUUUGCCUUGCUGAAACCGGCCUUUGUGCCGUGUUCUUCACUGUACAGGGAUGCUGCACCCAUGUCGUGCCACUUGCCGGAGCCGUUGGACUUAACAUCGCUGCUGUUGGAGCACCGAACCUCGAGGCGUUGCCGAACCCCAAGACUUCUCUUUCAGAUGCACCCCGGCCACUUGCAGCAAGCCGCGACCAAGCUGUAGAAGCCCUCUGCCAUCCUCGCCCGCAAGGUCGAACCUUGAACCUAGCCGACAUCGUCUCCGACGUUGGCAAAACCCUUGCCGUUCAUUUCGAUAUCAUACAUGCCAUGUAUCUUGCUCAUGUAUGCAUUAUGAUCUAUCUGCAUGACCAUUUGUUCAUCUAUCCAUGUCAUGCACUUGUUACAUGAUUAUUCAUCUCAUAUCUCGUUUAAUGCGCGAUCUAUCUUCGUCUAUAUCUCUGCCUGUGCCGUGCCUUCGUGCCGGUCUAUUUAUCUAUCUCUAUCUCUUUUGGUCGCUAUGGAAAUGUGCUACUCCGAGUCGUCGUCUUGUUAGUGUUGCAAUUUGUGCUUUUGUUCUUGUCGUUGUGGACCGUGCCGUCGAGCCGGUUGAGAGAGUGACGUGUUUGGAUGUUGCGAUCGCGAGUUCGUCUCGCCAUGGCCGUAAUGCCGAGCAUGUCCCUUCUCUCGUAUUUCUGUUGUUCCUUCUUUUGUUAUUUGCAUGCCUGAGGACCGAGCCUUCGAGCCGGUUAGGGAAAAUGGUGGAGCGUUCGAUCAUUUCGAUCGUGGGUUCGUCCCGCCGUGAUCGCGAUGCCGAGCGUAACUCAUUCCCUGUGAUUAGUUGUCUUCGCUGCGCUACGGUCGUUAGCUCCUAUUCCCGUCCCUCGAACGUGGUCAUCGUGGACUCGAUGUCGUUAACGACGCGGUUCUUACCCGCACACUCGAGACCUAAAUGACCUAGUCUAGUGGGAUACGAAUUAGGGGACAACCUUCGUAGAACUAUCGGAGAAACUCGUUAGGUGAAGCUCAUGGCCGCGAGUCCACCUUGCCAUGGCCAUUGGGCUUUACCCCAUUUCUCCCGUGUUUAUCCUAACCACCUCGUAUGCUUGUACCACUUCGACUAUAGCAUUCCCUCGGACCUAGCGGUGACAACCACAUCGCUAUGGGCCUUAGGAAUAGCCUUGUGCUGAUUUAGAUGCACAGUCAUGGUGCCCUACAAGUGGGUUGGGAUCGUGGGGUCGUAUUCCUUUUAUCCAACCGUCGUUGUUCCAUGAUGAGUUGGUCGAAAGAGUAUGGACUCCAUUCUUCUUCUCUCUUGUUCUCAAUCCCGUCGAUCCAGUAAGAUGGGGAUUAAGCCCCUUUUGCUUGUUUGAUGUUUUGUUUCCAAUCCCGCGAUUCCCGCCGUUGCUAUGGCGAGCGGAUCAAAGGAAGGUGAAUCCCGUGUCUUUUUCCGCCUUUUUGGUUCUUCGUGCUUAAACUCUUGUAUGCUUGUACCUAUAUCGAUCGUAGCAUUUCUUUGGUUCUUGUGGUGACAACCGCACCGCAAAGAACCUUAGUGAUGUCAUAGUGCAUUUAGUGCACCUAGGUUGUGGUACCCUACAAGUGGUUUGAGUACUCGUGUUCCUUAUGUGUCACUCUUUCUAAUCCCCCGUCUCUUACCAUGGCGAGUGGAUGGGAAGAAGUAGACCACUCCCCUUUUCUUCUUUCCUUGUUCCACCCUCUCUUGGCUCUCGCCAACUACAAUGGCGUAUGGAUUGAGAGAGACCGGAACUUCGCGUGCUCAUAGUCUUUUCGAUUCUUGUCGAUCUCCGUGAUGCUUGGAUCGAAGAGCCACUACCUAUGGUGUUUGCUUAUGAUAAGUUAGGGUCUAAGCCAAUUAUUAAAGUCGUACAGGUUGACUUAGUCGACCCAGGAAGUACCGGCUAGGCUAAGACUCCAGCUUGUACUUAGUGAACAACCAUUCCCAUUUCUUUUAGCCCAAAGAUCGGACAUCCGCCGAGAGGGCUAAGCCGUUUUCCUUUCGUUGCUCUUUUAGUGUAGUUGUUCCUCAGUGUUAUGUCGUCUCUUUUCGUAGUCUUUCGAGGUCUAGUGGUUUGAUUGUUUCGCCUUGUUUGUCGCUUUCGAGGUAGUCGCUUCGAGGUUAGCGUUGAUCGGACCAGGACCAGUUGAAGGAAGAACAUGUAGAAAGGAGGAUCUUGGAUGAGUACAACUACAAGUGAACUGAGGAUCUUGGAAAUGUCACUCGACAGGUGCCACGUCCCACCCAACCUCGUAGAAUCCUAUUAGACAUGCAAUAAUGUAGAUGCUAGUGCUUUACUUUUAUGCAAAUGAAUUGAGAUAGGUUGCAUGGUAGAAAUGCUUGUGAGCCAUUGCCUUGUUGCAACCUAUAACCCUCGCACACCCGCUGUUAGGUUAGACGCUUGCAUACUACUUGCUACUGCUUCUACUACGCAUUAUAUCUGUGAUGUGAUGCAUUGUGGAGGAUUGGAUGUGAGUGGAUAAGGCACGUGGUGCCGAUAACUGGAUAAGAAAUGGAUAAUGGACUUGGGGAGAUCUUGGCGUGUGUCUUGGGUGUGUGGUGAGGGUUGAGUCGACCGAGCAGGAUUUACGACGAGUCUUGGGACAAGUCUUGCCGGGGAAUGCUACCUGGGCGUUCUCCAUGAGAGAUACCUGUGGCGGGUACAUGUGACAGGGAGAGGUCCCGGAGUGGAGUGUCUUCGUGGGACGAAGCACCGGGAUGGGAGGUGCUGUAUAGCACGGGGUAGCCGGGUGUCCCGUCGAGAGGGGCAUCGGCUGGCCCCUCGUGAAGAUGUCCUGUUCGGUUACCCUAAGGACUGAGAUGUUCUGAGAACCGGUUCGUAGGAAGCCUUACACGCCACUCGCCUUAUUAUGGUGCGGGACGGAUGUACGACCAGCUAGUGCGGUGCCACUACUACUAGGUUGAUAGCGGAUAGUGUAGGGAGGUACGGGCAUGAGGACCCACACCCUCCUAAGACAGCGUAGUGACCUUUGGGGGCCCGGUACUACGCCUCACAGUCUCAGCAUGCCGGUGGUACUCCGGUAUGGCCCCAGUCCUGAGUGGUAGGGUGGCAUCGUAUUUAGUUGGAAGGCAGCCCGGUAUCAGCCUAGACGAGCCGGUUCGUCGAUGAUGGUGAUCUUGUGGUUAGUGUAAACCUCUGCAGAGUUUGGUUGAUCGAUCGAUACAUAUGCCGUCUUCUCGGCUAUGGACCUUUCCUAUGUUCCGCUUCGCUUGACUAGUGAGAGGAGUCCCUUCUAUCUUCCCCUGGGUUUGUGUUGGAUCCGGCGUUGGCCGUUGAGGCAAGGCACGAGCGGGAGUCGUACUUGCCGCCUAGAGAGUGAGAGUGUGGUGAGAUGUGUGUGAUGGGAUGGAUGGAUGGAUGUGUGGAUGAGAUGGAUUAAAACUUGAUGAAUUAUUAUUAUUAAAAUAUUGAUGAACUUGCAUAGAAAAAACUACAGCCAUAUAUAGGCCUCUUGAUCUACCCUUUUGCAUUCCACUUACCACAAAGCUUACGCAAAAGCAUAGGGUGGGAGCCAGUGGCCAGUACAAAUCGUACUGAAAAUUGUUUAGCAGGUUUUGAACGUGAUCUAUGACGAUAACUACGGAGAAUAGAAGGAUUAGGUGGUCUCGUUCCUGCGCUCAAGUUUGGUUCAGAGAUGAAGGCUGCGCCCGCUGAUAAACUACGCCGACUCUGAUGAUUGUCCGUGAAGGAGGAGCCUUCACCGCUGUCGCGCUACAUCGACUCUGAUAAAGACUCGCGUGUGUUUCCGCUAGAAAAACAAUGUAAUAAGCUUGUUAAUCAAGAGUUGUAAAGCAAAUGUGUUGUAAUCUUGUUUCUCACGAUGUAUGACUACGAUAACAGCUGAUAUAUGAUAAUGCGAUGGUUCAAUUUUUGAAUUAUCACAUUAUAAUUCGAAUCUGUGGAUUUUUCCCUUUGUGGAAAAAUCUGGGUCGUUUCAGUUGGUAUCAGAGCCAUACUUGACCCUAGGACGAGACCAUUAGGACCAAACACUAGUUUAGAAGCCAAACAUUCUAUCUUUUGUAGAGUUAUAGAUGCUAACACUUGUUUUCCCCCCUCCGCCUUGAAUUCUGUUGCUAACUGACCUCCCUGUUUCAUAAAGUUGACCGUUGGAAUCUUUUCCCAUACCCGCCCACGCUAGAUCGGUAGUCGUGUGAGACUUUGAAGGUCUGUGAGUCGCCUCAAGUCAACACUAUGCAUUAGGAGUUGUAAUGCUGAUUGAGUGCUUGGAUCUUAUGUUCUUGCGUUUCGUCUGCUUCUUGUUGUUUGAGUGUAUGUCAUAGAACUGUUUUAUGCGAGAAAAACUCUGGAUCCCGUCCAAUCUAGCUGGCUAAACCUAAGACUGUCCCGAAACUAGAUAAGUGACCCUGGCUAACAGAGCCGAAAAAGGGUUUAAAGCUGAUGCAUCAUGUCUUGCCCAUCUAUUUCAAAACUGUUUUUGGCUUCCAACUAAACUUGUCUUCAAAAUUGCCCUUUUGUUGAAAAAGUUUCUCUCCUUUUUGGUUGAAAAAGUUUAUCUCUUUUACAAAACAUCUUGGUUUCAAAAGGAAAAGUGUUUCAAAACUCUCUCAAUAUUCUUCCCUUUUCACAAAUAAAGCAAUUUUAACCCCCCUUUCUCAACUCAAACUCUAUUUAUGAAACGGUUUAAAAACAAGUUAUCUUCAAAAGGUGUUACCAAUCCUCUUUCUGAAAAUCAAAAGUUCUACCUUCAACCAACAAAGUGGUUUUCAAACCAAAGAUCUUUGGCUCAGUUUUGUUUUAAAUGUCUUUGAUUUUAUCUCAAGAGCCAAAUUCCUUUUAAAAUUCAACCUUGCCUUAAAAGAAAAAGGAAUUCCCAGUGAUUUAUUAAACAAAAACCAUUGUGAAAAGUUUUUGUUUAGCAACCUUUCAAAAAAAAGAACGAAAUGGACUUUCAAGUUUCAAAAAUGUUUUGGUUGUGAAGGCUCUAACUUUCAAAAUGCGAAAUGAUUUCUUGUUAUUUUCAAAACUAAUUUGUUUGACUCUAAUAAAAAGGGAGCAAUACCUUGUUUUAAAGAAAAUAGUAAUAAUAAAAUGAAAGAAUUUUAAAAUCUUUUGAUUUGAAAUCUUUUAUAAUAAAACCUUCAAAAUAUUUGGUUCUCAAAACUUGUAUUGAAUUCAACCCUCUGCAAAAGCUCUCUUCAUUUUGAAGUCUCAAAAAAAAAAUUGACUUUGUAAAAUCGCUUUCACUCCAUUUAUGAAACCUGUUUUUUUCCGAAAAACAUUCCUUUCAAAAGCUUUUUGCAAAGAGUGAUGCAUGAAAAACCGCUAGUGAAAGCCAACAACCCUAGCUAUGUUUAAGCCUGCCAUGCACUCCUAGAGAGCCAGAUGUUCAUCAACCUGGUGCGAUUCUUGGAUACCCAUCGCCUUGUUGUGAGAAUUUGGAUACCCAACACCAGCGAGUGAGCCUUGGAUACAUCCUGAACAUGACUCGCCCCCACAUGGAAAAGGUUUGUGGAGCCAUCUUUCUGAUAGCAGUUAACUCAAAAGUAAGAAGAACUUCUGAAACGACGCCCUCGUUUCUUCACCGACCGAGCAACGCCUAAAUCUCGGGACGAGAUUCCUGUAAGGUGGGUGGACUGUAACAUCCCGGAUUUUUACAAAAACCAAAAAUACGAACUUUUUAAAAUUUUUCCUGUAAUCGUGUGAAUCAUAUAGUAUUUAGGUCAAACUCGAUCCUAACCCGCUAACAAAUCGUGGCAUACAUAUAGAUUUGUUUGUAGACGGGUCGUCUUAAGUUGGAUCUUGUUAGGGUUUUGAGUUUCUUUUGGAGUGCACAAAUCCGUAGCAAAGCCUUCCCGAAUUUUCGUUGAGCCUAUCUCAAAGGCGAAGCGGAUCCCUUCUCAACCUUUUCGUUGGAGUACGUCUCAAACUCCUUUUGAUCCUUUUGAACUCUCCCUGAAAUUCCCUUCUCUCUCUCUUUGAUCUUAUCUAAAUCUCCUCCGCAAAAUCUAUCUUAAAUUCAUGGUAACUCAUCUCAAUCUCUUGUUGAGUUCUCUCUCGAAUGCCCCUCAUUUUUUUUUCCCUUUUAAAAUUUCUCUCAAAGCCCUUGAGUCAAAUUCGUAAAUGGAAGAUCCAUCUCCUUUCAUGGGCCAAUUCUUUCCUCCUCUUCCUCCCUCCCUCGGCCCAGCCUGGGCACCCUUCCCCCCUGUCCGGCCCAACUCGCGCGCGCCAAGGCCCAGUCUGCCCCUUACCCCCCAGCCAGGUCGGCCCACCUCGUUCCCCCUGUCUCCCCUCCGAGGCCCAGCUCUUUCCUUGGCCCAUCCAGUGCCGCGCUGGCCCAUUCGCUUCUCCCUGCUCUGGCCCAAGUCGUGGCCGGCCCAGCAGCCAGCGCCCCAGCCCCAACCCUAGCAGGGAGCUGGACACCUGAGCCCCAGAGCCGCCGCCGCCGUCGCCCAAGGCAGAGCCGCGCCAGCGCUCGCGCCUGCCACGGCUUCCGUGCGACCCCGCAUCCACCGCCGCGUGUCCCGCUGCGGACACGGACGCCGAGGAUGGCCGCAGCGUCCCUGGAGCCCUAGCGCCCGCGCUAUAAAAGCGGCAGCAGCCGCUCGCCCUUCUUCUACCCGCCGCCGCCGCCAUAGCCGACUCGAAGCUCCGCACCCUCACCAAGCGCCUCGACCCCGACCUCGCCCCGCGCACCUGCACCACCGAGCUCGGUCACGCCGUGACGCCGUCGAUCGCCACCACGAUGUCGCCCGCAACUGCGUCGCCCGAGCGUCUCGUCCUCGGCACCACCUCGGCACUCGCACCGCGCCCUCGCCGAGCAGCAGCAGAGCCGCGGCCAUGGCCUCGCCCUGCCGACGCCGCCAAGCACCACUGCGCCCGCCUCGGCCGUGCCCCUAC
rnacentral:lncRNA from 1 species